rnacentral:rRNA from 1 species
UACGAAGGGUGCAAGCGUUACUCGGAAUUACUGGGCGUAAAGCGUGCGUAGGUGGUUUGUUAAGUCUGAUGUGAAAGCCCUGGGCUCAACCUGGGAAUUGCAUUGGAUACUGGCAGGCUAGAGUGCGGUAGAGGAUGGCGGAAUUCCCGGUGUAGUGGUGAAAUGCGUAGAUAUCGGGAGGAAUACCAGUGGCGAAGGCGGCAUCCUGGACCAAUAUUGACGCUGAGGAGCGAAAGCCAGGGGAGCAAAGCGGG